CACGGAGGAUGCGAGCGUUAUCCGGAUUUAUUGGGUUUAAAGGGUGCGUAGGCGGCUUUUUAAGUCAGCGGUGAAAUUUUGCAGCUUAACUGUAACAGUGCCGUUGAUACUGGGGAGCUAGGAUUUGGUUGCUGUGGGUGGAAUGUGUGGUGUAGCGGUGAAAUGCUUAGAGAUCACACAGAAUAUCGAUUGCGAAGGCAGCUCACAAAGCCAAGAUUGACGCUGAGGCACGAAGGUGUGGGGAUCAAACAGGAUUA
rnacentral:rRNA from 1 species